GCGCCUCUAGCUCAACGGCAGAGCAAUGGACUCUUAAUCCACAGGUUCUGGGUUCGAAUCCCAGGGGGCGCACCG
rnacentral:tRNA from 1 species